AUUGAACGCUAGCGGCAGGCCUAACAAAUGCAAGUCGAACGAGUGGCGGACGGGUGAGAAAUGUCUGUGAAACUGCCCGAUGGAGGGGGAUCACUACUGGAAACGGUAGCUAAUACCGCAUACCAUCUGAUGUGCCCAGAUGGGAUUAUCUAGUAGGUGGGGUAACGGCUCACCUAGGCGACGAUCCCUAGCUGGUCUGAGAGGAUGACCAGCCACACUGGAACUGAUACACGGUCAAGACUCCUACGGGAGGCAGCAGUGGGGAAUAUUGCAGAAUGGGCGCAAGCCUGAUGCAGCCAUGCGGCGUGUAUGAAGAAGGCCUUCGGGGUGUAAAGUACUUUCAGCGAGGAGGCGUGACUCGCAGAAGAAGCACCGGCUAACUCCGUGCCAGCAGCCGCGGUAAUAC
rnacentral:rRNA from 1 species